rnacentral:tRNA from 1 species
UUAACCGAAGCCAAAAUAGAGGCAUAUCACUGUUAAUGAUAAAAUUGGGAACCCCCCGGUUAAG